UUGGCAGAGUUGAAGUUUAAAGUCUAUUUAUCCAGGGAACAGGUACAGUAAGGCAGUAACAAUGCAAGUUUCCCCAACGCUACCCUGCUAGUGUACUCACUCCUGACCUGCAGAGUGGAGUUUAAGCUCUAUGCUUGUUCUCUUAGCUGAA
rnacentral:sRNA from 1 species